CAAGAGCGUAUGUAAAAGUUGUUGCAGUUAAAAAGCUCGUAGUUGAACCUUGGGUUUGGUUGGCCGGUCCGCUUUUUUGCGAGUACUGGAUUCAACCGAGCCUUUCCUUCUGGCUAACCAGUCGUUUCGGCGGCUGGCGAACCAGGAUUUUUACUUUGAGAAAAUUAGAGUGUUCAAAGCAGGCAUUAGCUUGAAUAUAUUAGCAUGGAAUAAUAGAAUAGGACGUUAUGGUUCUAUUUUGUUGGUUUCUAGGACCAUCGUAAUGAUUAAUAGGGACGGUCGGGGGCAUCAGUAUCCAGUUGUCAGAGGUGAAAUUCUUGGAUUUACUGAAGACUAACUACUGCGAAAGCAUUUGCCAAGGACGUUUUCAUUAA
rnacentral:rRNA from 1 species